CCCACCUUAGCUCAGUUGGUAGAGCGGAGGAUUGUAGUUGGAGUCUUUUCUUGCGGAAAUCUUUAGGUCGCUGGUUCGAAUUCGGCAGGUCGGA
rnacentral:tRNA from 1 species